GACGAACGCUGGCGGCGUGCCUAAUACAUGCAAGUAGAACGCAGUUGCGAACGGGUGAGUAACGCGUAGGUACCUGCCUGGUAGCGGGGUAUAACUAUUUGACACGAUAGCUAAUACCGCAUACUACCCGAUGGAACUGCGUUGUAUUAGCUAGUUGGUGCGGUAACGGCACAACAAGGCAACGAGACAUAGCCGACCUUGGAGGGGGAUCGGCCACACUGGGACUGAGACACGGCCCAGACUCCUACGGGAGGCAGCAGUAGGGAAUCUUCGGCAAUGGGGGGAACCCUGACCGAGCAACGCCGCGGGAGUGAAGAAGGUUUUCGGAUCGUAAAGCUCUGUUGUUAAGGAAGCGGUACUUAACCAGAAAGGGACGGCUAACUACGUGCCAGCAGCCGCGGUAAUAC
rnacentral:rRNA from 1 species